AAUGUAAAUAAAGAAAAUAAUAGGAGCCCUGAUUUUGUUUUUUCGUAUCCAUUACUAUCAGUGCAGCUGCUACUUCUUAUUUGUCUCUUUUCUUCUUCAUUUUCACUUAUAAUAUAGAUAUAGAUUCGCUCUUCUUCCUUAACUAAUCCAAGUCUGCAGCAUUAACCGCCGUUGGAUUCCGAUUCCGGCAUGGCGGGAGUUUCCGGUUUCAAAUGCCCCUGCUUCCGGCCGCUGUCUUCCUCACUCUCCUACAGUUCCAGCCGUUUUCCUGCGCCGCAGCUCAGGAUUCCGCGCCGUCUCUCCACAUUCCCCAGAAUUUACGCAUUGACGAGCAACGAUAUUAAAGUCGGCCUCAACAUUGAAGUGGAUGGGAAUCCGUGGAAGGUUAUUGAGUUCCUCCAUGUUAAACCUGGAAAGGGGGCAGCAUUUGUAAGGACCACAUUGCGAAAUUAUGUGACUGGAAAUCAAGUUGAAAAAACUUUCAGAGCUGGAAGUAAGAUAGAAGAGGCUGACAUAUCCAAAGAGACCAAGCAAUACACUUACAAAGAUGGUGCUCAGUAUGUUUUCAUGGAUUUGAAUACAUAUGAAGAAGCCCGUCUGAAUGCGGUUGAUGUUGGAGAUAAAGACAAGUGGUUGAAAGAAGGCAUGGACUGCAAUUUGUUAUUCUGGAACGGGAAGGUCAUUGAUUUUGAACUCCCCAUAACUGUGAAGUUAAACGUUACUGAAGUUGAUCCCGGUUUAAAGGGCGACACAGCUCAAGGAGGAUCAAAGCCUGCCACUGUUGAAACUGGUGCUGUGGUAUCGGUUCCAUUGUUCGUAAACACCGGUGAUACGAUUCUCAUAGACACCAGAACUGGGCAGUACAUGAGUCGUGCAUAGCCUGCUUUCAUCAUUUUUGGGAGGCUUCCAUGGUUUUGAAACCUGGCUGACGUCGAAUUUGAAGAGUACUCAGUAGCAACAAGAUUUUGGCUAUUCUUAUCUAUAAGAGAAACACCCCAGGCAGAAUCAUACAAGUAUCAUUUGUAAUGGAAACCAGAAGUUUCCUCUUUGGCACCGCACCUCUUUUCAGAGCCUAGCCAUAAACAUAGCAAGCCUCCAACAAUCUUCCUUGCAGAAUCAACUCAUCGAUCAACAAAUUGAACGGAAUCCCUCUCGAAUUUCUGCCUUUGUGCAUCAUCAUCAAAACUGCCAAAGCCUUGUCAGCCUCACCGCAACGACAAAGAGCAUGAAUAGCAAUGUUGAAGGUGAAAAUCCAAUCUCAAUCAUCUCAUUCAAAACAUCAAAACUUCUCUCCAUCUUUAACUCUAUACCAUUGCAGCAGUAGGCUUCAACCACAAGCUCAUAUAACUAAUCUACUGCAAUACGUGUAUAUAAAUAGAAAAAUGAUGAUUAGUGUAAUAAAGACAAGAAGUACUAUGUAUAUGAUGCUGGAGAGCUAGGUGUAUAAUGAGUUUCAUUCUCAAGUACUAAAAAUGGGAGUUUUGUAGGAAUUCUGUUUAAAAAUUCCAUAUGGCCUGGGUUCUAUGUUUUUUUA